rnacentral:rRNA from 1 species
CCUACGGGCGGCAGCAGUGGGGAAUAUUGGACAAUGGGGGGAACCCUGAUCCAGCCAUGCCGCGUGUGUGAAGAAGGCCCUCGGGUUGUAAAGCACUUUCAGUGAGGAAGAACGCCUGGUGGUUAAUACCCAUCAGGAAAGACAUCACUCACAGAAGAAGCACCGGCUAACUCCGUGCCAGCAGCCGCGGUAAUACGGAGGGGGCGAGCGUUAAUCGGCAUUACUGGGCGUAAAGCGCGCGUAGGUGGCUUGAUAAGCCGGUUGUGAAAGCCCCGGGCUCAACCUGGGAACGGCAUCCGGAACUGUCAAGCUAGAGUGCAGGAGAGGAAGGUAGAAUUCCCGGUGUAGCGGUGAAAUGCGUAGAGAUCGGGAGGAAUACCAGUGGCGAAGGCGGCCUUCUGGACUGACACUGACACUGAGGUGCGAAAGCGUGGGUAGCAAACAGGAUUAGAUACCCUUGUAGUC